UGAACGCUGGCGGCAUGCCUUACACAUGCAAGUCGAACGGCAGCAUGAUCUAGCUUGCUAGAUUGAUGGCGAGUGGCGAACGGGUGAGUAAUACAUCGGAACGUGCCCUGUAGUGGGGGAUAACUAGUCGAAAGAUUAGCUAAUACCGCAUACGACCUGAGGGUGAAAGUGGGGGACCGCAAGGCCUCAUGCUAUAGGAGCGGCCGAUGUCUGAUUAGCUAGUUGGUGAGGUAAAGGCUCACCAAGGCGACGAUCAGUAGCUGGUCUGAGAGGACGAUCAGCCACACUGGGACUGAGACACGGCCCAGACUCCUACGGGAGGCAGCAGUGGGGAAUUUUGGACAAUGGGGGCAACCCUGAUCCAGCAAUGCCGCGUGUGUGAAGAAGGCCUUCGGGUUGUAAAGCACUUUUGUCCGGAAAGAAAUCGCACUUACUAAUAUUAGGUGUGGAUGACGGUACCGGAAGAAUAAGGACCGGCUAACUACGUGCCAGCAGCCGCGGUAAUACGUAGGGUCCAAGCGUUAAUCGGAAUUACUGGGCGUAAAGCGUGCGCAGGCGGUUGUGCAAGACCGAUGUGAAAUCCCCGGGCUUAACCUGGGAAUUGCAUUGGUGACUGCACGGCUAGAGUGUGUCAGAGGGGGGUAGAAUUCCACGUGUAGCAGUGAAAUGCGUAGAGAUGUGGAGGAAUACCGAUGGCGAAGGCAGCCCCCUGGGAUAACACUGACGCUCAUGCACGAAAGCGUGGGGAGCAAACAGGAUUAGAUACCCUGGUAGUCCACGCCCUAAACGAUGUCAACUAGUUGUUGGGGAUUCAUUUCCUUAGUAACGUAGCUAACGCGUGAAGUUGACCGCCUGGGGAGUACGGUCGCAAGAUUAAAACUCAAAGGAAUUGACGGGGACCCGCACAAGCGGUGGAUGAUGUGGAUUAAUUCGAUGCAACGCGAAAAACCUUACCUACCCUUGACAUGCCACUAACGAAGCAGAGAUGCAUUAGGUGCUCGAAAGAGAAAGUGGACACAGGUGCUGCAUGGCUGUCGUCAGCCCGUGUCGUGAGAUGUUGGGUUAAGUCCCGCAACGAGCGCAACCCUUGUCUCUAGUUGCUACGAAAGGGCACUCUAGAGAGACUGCCGGUGACAAACCGGAGGAAGGUGGGGAUGACGUCAAGUCCUCAUGGCCCUUAUGGGUAGGGCUUCACACGUCAUACAAUGGUGCAUACAGAGGGUUGCCAAGCCGCGAGGUGGAGCUAAUCCCAGAAAAUGCAUCGUAGUCCGGAUCGUAGUCUGCAACUCGACUACGUGAAGCUGGAAUCGCUAGUAAUCGCGGAUCAGCAUGCCGCGGUGAAUACGUUCCCGGGUCUUGUACUCACCGCC
rnacentral:rRNA from 1 species